rnacentral:tRNA from 1 species
GUACCGUUAGCUCAGGUGGUUAGAGCGUCCGUCUCAUAAACGGAAGUGCUUAGGUUCAAUCCCUAAACGGUACA